AGGACGAACGCUGGCGGCGUGCUUAACACAUGCAAGUCGAGCGGUAAGGCCUUUCGGGGUACACGAGCGGCGAACGGGUGAGUAACACGUGGGUGAUCUGCCCAGCACUUCGGGAUAAGCCUGGGAAACUGGGUCUAAUACCGGAUAUGACCUCAGGUUGCAUGACUUGGGGUGGAAAGAUUUAUCGGUGCAGGAUGGGCCCGCGGCCUAUCAGCUUGUUGGUGGGGUAAUGGCCUACCAAGGCGACGACGGGUAGCCGACCUGAGAGGGUGACCGGCCACACUGGGACUGAGACACGGCCCAGACUCCUACGGGAGGCAGCAGUGGGGAAUAUUGCACAAUGGGCGAAAGCCUGAUGCAGCGACGCCGCGUGAGGAUGACGGCCUUCGGGUUGUAAACCGUCUUUCAGCAGGACGAAGCGCAAGUGACGGUACCUGCAGAAGAAGCACCGGCUAACUACGUGCCAGCAAGCCGC
rnacentral:rRNA from 1 species